UCAGUUAUUAUUCCUGCCGCCAAUGUGCAAACACAGCCGAAUUAAGCACUCGGAGAAGAAGGAGAAGGAGAAGAAAUGGCGUCCGAAAUGUCGGAGGUACUCGUCGUCCCGCGCGCAAACAUUCAUUCGGGUCCGACACCAUUAGCAGCAUCAUAAGACUGCAGAUGCAAAGGCUAUUGCCAGGCUCUCUUGACCUUAAUUUCUUUCGCCGAAAUUAUGAGAGUUUACCGGAUUGGAAGUAUGUUUGGUGGAUGGUUGUUUUCCCUCCUGACUUAAUGAUGAUGCAACGGCUUUUCGAGACCGUAUGUUCCCUCACUUGUGAGUGGAUCAUGAGGCCAGUUGACUCGAAGGUUGAAGAUGGAUCCAAAGGGUGGCACAUGUUGGAACAAAAGAGGUCAGGAGGUCAGAUUGCUUUGCUGGUCGUAGGAGAUUCCGGUUGAAGGAAAUAGACGUUGAAACUAAGCUUGUCGUUGUCUAAGAAUUAUAGGUAGUGAGAAUUAGAUGCUUUUGCUCCAUGAUAAUGUCAAAGGAUGUAUCAUUCCGUACUGGUUGAUCGGAUCUUUCAAAAGGAAGCUGCUAACUUCAUCGAGGGCACGUGAUCCCAAGCCGGCUAAGCAUUUCUAUCCUGCUUAGCUUGGAUGAACAGUUUACACCUCCAAUGCACUAUCAAACGUUACACCAUUCAAUUCAAGCGCGCACUCGAAUCUACAACAGAAGAAGGCACACUCUGCAUCUUCCUGCUUGGGUUUUAUGCGUUCAUCCACCGAUAACGUCGGUGGAAAAGAAUGAUCGGGCCUAGCUAUUUGUUUCAAUAUUACUCCCCAGUCCUUGGUUAUCUCUGAUGACUUCCUUCAAAGCCAAUCUAACUGUUCCCAGUCCUUGGUUUUCUGUCAAUUGUAUUUUAUUUGUUUAUGUCCCAAAGUUGUUGUUUGUUGCAAAACUCUCCCAAAACAAGUUGCCACGUCAGCAUUCCAUCCACCUCUUGACGGAAUAUGGACGGCAUACUGUGCGGUGAAAAAUUUGUUUUCGUACUGUACAAGAAAAUGAUUUGAAUUCAUGCUGCAGUGUGAAAAAAGUGAAAAAACCGUAUUGUACGAUGUUAUUUUCCCUAUCUAGUACAUUUAAUGGGAAAGUGUCAAUGCAUACGUGAUGGCUCCUUCUCACAUGAAAAUGUUUAUAUGGCAAUUCCUACUCGCACGAACGGAAUGCUCUUGUGAGAAUAGUCCGAAUUACUUUAUAUAUAUAUAUAUAUAUAUAUAUAUAUAUAUAUAUAGAUGUUACAAUUUCAAACGCACAAAAUUAGAAGAAUUAGGGUUUUUUGUGCAUAUCUCUUUGUUAAAAUAAUAAUUCGACAACAAAUUCAAAAUAACAGAAGUAAUCUAAUCAAAUCCUUUUAAACCCCUUAAUGAACACUAUCCAAAUAAGGGUCUCGAAAUGCCUUCAUACCCUGUAAAAAACUUCCCCACUUUAGCUGUCCAUAACCUUCUAGGCCUGUACUCCUUCGAACCCUUUAAUAAAGAAUACUCCAAAUAUGGUUAGAGAAGCUAGUUCUUGUUCCAGUCAACUGGCUUCUAACAUCCACACGUCACACAACGUACUGCCAUAUGCCAUUCUUCCAUGUCAGCAUCGUUUAACGAAUGAUUAAACGGAAUGUCAAAAUCGAAUAAGAUUUGCAACAAUGAGGAUUUAGAGGUGACAAAAACAAUAACAACAAUGGAAAAGCACCUAACCGGACUGAAAGCGUAUAUUAACGGUGGGCUUAACACUUCCCCCGAUUUGGUCCUAUUGGGCCCAGAGUAGGCCCCCAAUUGAAAAGCCCAGUGCUUGAAUUGAAUGGGCGCCACUAAGAAGCAGUUUUUCCCCUUUUAUUUAUUUGUUUAGUUAUUAUUCCUGCCGGCAUAUGUAUGCACAGCCGAAUUAAGCACUCGAAGAAGGAGGAGAAGGAGCAGAAAUGGCGUCCGAAAUGUCGGAGGUACUCGUCGUCCCGCGCGCAAACAUCUUGGAUGAACAGUUUACACCACCAAUGCACUAUCAAACAUUACAUCAUUCAAUUCAAGCGCGCACUCGAAUCUACAAAAGAAAAAGGCACACUCUGCAUCUUCCUACUUGGGUUUUAUGCGUUCAUCCACCAAUAACGACGGUGGAAAAGAAUGAUCGGGCCUAGCUAUUUGUUUCAAUAUUACUGCCUAGUCCUUGGUUAUCUCUGAUGACUUCCUUCA